GACGAACGCUGGCGGCGUGCUUAACACAUGCAAGUCGAACGGAAAGGCCCUGCUUUUGUGGGGUGCUCGAGUGGCGAACGGGUGAGUAACACGUGAGUAACCUGCCCUUGACUUUGGGAUAACUUCAGGAAACUGGGGCUAAUACCGGAUAGGAGCUCCUGCUGCAUGGUGGGGGUUGGAAAGUUUCGGCGGUUGGGGAUGGACUCGCGGCUUAUCAGCUUGUUGGUGGGGUAGUGGCUUACCAAGGCUUUGACGGGUAGCCGGCCUGAGAGGGUGACCGGACACAUUGGGACUGAGAUACGGCCCAGACUCCUACGGGAGGCAGAAGUGGGGAAUAUUGCACAAUGGGCGGAAGACUGAUGCAGCAACGCCGCGUGCGGGAUGACGGCCUUCGGGUUGUAAACCGCUUUCGCCUGUGACGAAGCGUGAGUGACGGUAAUGGGUAAAGAAGCACCGGCUAACUACGUG
rnacentral:rRNA from 1 species